UAGAGUUUGAUCCUGGCUCAGAACGAACGCUGGCGGCGUGCCUAACACAUGCAAGUCGAACGGGUUACGCGCCAACCACUGAGUGUACAGGGGGGAGGUACAUUGAGUGGUUGGCGCGUGAUUAGUGGCGGACGGGUGAGUAACACGUAGGUAACCAACCCUCAAGCGGGGGACAACUGAGGGAAACUUCAGCUAAUACCGCAUAAGCUCACGGACUGGGAUGUUUGUGAGAAAAGGAGCAAUUCACUUGAGGAUGGGCCUGCGGCCUAUCAGGUAGUUGGUGGGGUAACGGCCCACCAAGCCGAAGACGGGUAGCCGGACUGAGAGGUUGAACGGCCACACUGGAACUGAGACACGGUCCAGGCUCCUACGGGAGGCAGCAGUGGGGAAUUUUGCGCAAUGGGGGAAACCCUGACGCAGCGACGCCGCGUGGAGGAUGAAGGUCUUCGGAUUGUAAACUCCUUUUGUCGGGGAAGAUAA
rnacentral:rRNA from 1 species